ACAUUACUCCCUUCUAUCCAUAUUAAUUGUCUCAAAUUUGCCAAAAUAUGGAUGCAUUUAUGCCUAAUAUGCGUCUAGAUACAUGUAAUAUUUCGACAAUUAAUAUGGAUCGGAGGGAGUAGCUU
rnacentral:pre_miRNA from 1 species